rnacentral:RNase_P_RNA from 1 species
UAAGUAAAUCAGAUGUUCGCAUGGUAACAUGAGGAAAGUCCGUGCUCCAUAGGGCAGAAUGCCGGAUAACAUCCGGUGGGGGCGACCCCAAGGAAAGUGCAACAGAAAAUAACCGCCAAUUGGUAAGGGUGAAAAAGUGAGGUAAGAGCUCACUGACGCUUUGGCAACUGAGCGUUCGUGUAAACCCCAUUCGGAGCAAGACCAAGUUGAAUAGGUUGCCCGCUUAUAUUCAGAGGUAGGUCGCUAGAGCUUAAUGGUAACUUUAAGCCAAGAUAGAUGAACAUCGAAUACAGAACACGGAUUAUAGAUUUACUUAGGCC